CGCGCCUGCACGCUCUGCGCAUGCCCGGCCGCGCCGCACCCCGGCCCACGCAGGCUGCGGGAGUCCUGGCGAUCGCGAACAUUUUGGCGAGCAUUUCAGCUAGGCUGUGGAAGAGGGCUGGGUGCAGCUUUGGACGCGCGCACCCUGGAGGGGCUGUCUCCUCCAGGAUGCACACCGGGGAUGGACAAGGCGCUGGAGGAGGGCCCCGUAGGGCAGCGAUGCGCACAGGCCCAGGGCACCGAAUGACCCUAACAAAGACUCUUCUGGAAGCACCUCCUCCAUGGAAACCUGCGGAUAUCCACCACGAGUGCCCCUGGAUCCCCAGUAUGGCACCCGAGCGUCCAGCGUGCACGCUGCCUCGGAAACAGGCAGGCCCACGGUCAAUCCUGAUCAAGGCAUCCCAAAGGACAGUAAAAGGUAUCCACAGCAUCAGUCUUAAAAUCCUCUUUGUAUGGUUUCCCAUGCUGGGUGUCUCAUGCCCUGCGGUUCCCAGAACCCCGUGGUCUCUGCACCCCUCCGGGACCGCCUCCUCCUGGGCCUGCAGGGGAGUCAGCAGUACUCUCUCAGGCUCCGGGGGCUAACCGCUCUCCAGCCAGUGCUGGCCCUGCCUCCUGUCUCCUCCCCGCCCUCUGUUACUCCUAAACACAUAACAUGGGCAGCAACUCAUGUGAUAAUGUUGAAUUGUCAACCAGAGCUUUCUUCCCCACCUGGGAAAGAAUGAAGUGUGGAUAGUACAUACUCUGUCAUCGUUGUCUCUGUCAUGUACAAAGAUAGGCAGCGCGGCCAUGGUGACAGGUUAUGGACUUUACCAGAUUAUGGGGGUGGACCUAGUCUCACCACCUGACCCCUUGCAAGUGAAGGGCUUUUCUCCAGCGGGAAGAGAGGACGACAGUGAGUCCCCCACUGUGGGAUGGAGUCUUUACUCCAUCGCUGGCUCUGAAAUGUUGGGUUCACAUACAAGGACUGAAGACAGACUCCUAGGAGCUAAGGGAGGAUGCCAGCUGUCCCCUGACAGCCAUCAAGCAAAUGGGGACUUCAGUCUUGAACUACAGGGACCUGUGCUGUGUCAACACGCUGCUUGAGGUUAGCGGCAGAUUCUUCCUGGUGUCUCCCAAUGACAGGUGACCCCCUGACACUUUGGUCUCAGCCUUCUGAACCCCAAAGCAGAGAAUGCAGCCCAGACCUCUGACCCCUAGAACUGCAAGCCAAUAAAUACGUGUCGUUUAAAGAA